AUUGAACGCUGGCGGCAGGCCUAACACAUGCAAGUCGAGCGGUAACAUUUCUAGCUUGCUAGAAGAUGACGAGCGGCGGACGGGUGAGUAAUGGCUGGGAACCUGCCCUAACGAGGGGGAUAACAGUUGGAAACGACUGCUAAUACCGCAUAAUGUCUUCGGACCAAAGGAGGGGAUCUUCGGACCUUUCGCGUUAGGAUGGGCCCAGUUGGAUUAGCUUGUUGGUGAGGUAAUGGCUCACCAAGGCGACGAUCCCUAGCUGGUUUGAGAGGAUGAUCAGCCACACUGGAACUGAGACACGGUCCAGACUCCUACGGGAGGCAGCAGUGGGGAAUAUUGCACAAUGGGCGAAAGCCUGAUGCAGCCAUGCCGCGUGUGUGAAGAAGGCCUUCGGGUUGUAAAGCACUUUCAGCAGUGAGGAAGGCAUAACAGUUAAUACCUGUUGUGUUUGACGUUAGCUGCAGAAGAAGCACCGGCUAACUCCGUGCCAGCAGCCGCGGUAAUACGGAGGGUGCGAGCGUUAAUCGGAAUUACUGGGCGUAAAGCGCAUGCAGGCGGUUUGUUAAGCAAGAUGUGAAAGCCCGGGGCUUAACCUCGGAAUAGCAUUUUGAACUGGCAAGCUAGAGUCCUGUAGAGAGGA
rnacentral:rRNA from 1 species